GGAGAGAUGGCAGAGUGGUUGAAUGCGGUAGUCUCGAAAACUACUUUAAGUGAAUAGCUUAACGAGGGUUCAAAUCCCUCUCUCUCCG
rnacentral:tRNA from 1 species